rnacentral:rRNA from 1 species
CGGAGGGUGCAAGCGUUAUCCGGAUUCACUGGGUUUAAAGGGUGUGUAGGCGGGCUAUUAAGUCAGUGGUGAAAUCUCCGGGCUCAACCCGGAAACUGCCAUUGAUACUAUUAGUCUUGAAUAUCGUUGAGGUAGGCGGAAUAUAUCAUGUAGCGGUGAAAUGCAUAGAUAUGAUAUAGAACACCGAUUGCGAAGGCAGCUUGCUAAACGAUUAUUGACGCUGAGGCACGAAAGCGUGGGGAUCAAACAGGAUUAGAUACCCUGGUAGUCCACGCCCUAAACGAUGAUUACUCGACAUACGCGAUACACAGUGUGUGUCUGAGCGAAAGCAUUAAGUAAUCCACCUGGGAAGUACGUCCGCAAGGAUG